rnacentral:rRNA from 1 species
UACGGGGGGUGCAAGCGUUGCUCGGAAUCACUGGGCGUAAAGCGUCCGCAGGCGGCUUGACAAGUCGGGUGUGAAAGCCCGGGGCUCAACCCCGGAACUGCAUUCGAAACUGUCUCGCUUGAGUACGGGAGAGGGUCGUGGAAUUCCUGGUGUAGAGGUGAAAUUCGUAGAUAUCUGGAGGAACACCGGUGGCGAAGGCGGCAUCCUGGACCGGUAUUGACGCUGAGGCGCGAAAGCCAGGGGAGCAAACGGG